UCCCGCAACGAGCGCAACCCUUGAUCUUAGUUGCCAUCAUUAAGUUGGGCACUCUAAGGUGACUGCCGGUGACAAACCGGAGGAAGGUGGGGAUGACGUCAAAUCAUCAUGCCCCUUAUGACCUGGGCUACACACGUGCUACAAUGGACGGUACAAAGAGCUGCAAGACCGCGAGGUGGAGCUAAUCUCAUAAAACCGUUCUCAGUUCGGAUUGUAGGCUGCAACUCGCCUACAUGAAGCUGGAAUCGCUAGUAAUCGCGGAUCAGCAUGCCGCGGUGAAUACGUUCCCGGGUCUUGUA
rnacentral:rRNA from 1 species